AAAAAGGGAAACCCUUCAGGCCCUAAGGUGCAUGACUGUAGGCUUGGGAGAACUUGGAGAUGAGGCACUCGUUUGACAACAAUGAUUGAACAAUGAUCGAGUCAUUUGGUUGGUUGGGGGUAAAUGUUUUGUGCAUGACUCUUUUAAGACCUUGUGCUUGGUUUGCCACUGCAUUUUUGUUUUGUUCAUAAGAACUUGCUGAAGGGUUAGCUUAUGGACAUUGAAGCUCACGUUGUAAUAUCUGGGCUUAAGAUUUGGUUGCCUACUGGCAAUCAUUGUAAUG
rnacentral:misc_RNA from 1 species